rnacentral:rRNA from 1 species
AUCAAAAACAUAACUAUAUGUAUAUAUAUAUGUAGCUAUUUCUGCUCAAUGAGAACUUAAAUAGCCGCAGUAAUUUGACUGUGCAAAGGUAGCAUAAUCAUUUGACUUAUAAUUGAAGCCUGGUAUGAAGGAACAUUUGGGGGGUGGCUGUCUCAAAAAGAUUACUUAAAAUUGCUUAUUGGGUGAAAAUUCCCAAAGAGAAAUAAUAGACGAGAAGACCCUAGAAAUUUUCAGUAUAAACUAACUUAAUGUUUUUGUUGGGGCGACAUAGUAGCAUAUAACCUACUGUAAUCUAUAUGAUUUGUAUUGUAAGAUAAAUUAAAUUACUCUAGGGAUAACAGCAUAAUAUUUUAAAGUUUGUGACCUCGAUGUUGGACUAGGAAAUAAUAGCCCAGAAGGCGAUUUACUUUGCUCUGUUCGAGCAGCACUUUCCUACGUGAUCUGA